rnacentral:misc_RNA from 1 species
UUUCCGUAGGUGAACCUGCGGAAGGAUCAUUACCUUUCAAUGCAGCAGAAUUGGGAUGGUUGAGUAUCUCGCCUUCCAAUUCUGCCUGUAUUCCACCCUUGUUUGUCAUACUAUUAUUUCCUCGGCAGGCUUGCCUGCCGAGUGAAACCAAUUAUAACCUAUUUAAUUUUCAAUCAGCGUCUGAAAAAAAUUAAUAAUUACAACUUUCAACAACGGAUCUCUUGGUUCUG